rnacentral:rRNA from 1 species
GUAGUCCACGCCUUAAACGAUGGAUACUUGGUGUUGGUGGUUUUGACCCCAUCAGUGCCGUAGCUAACGCGUUAAGUAUCCCGCCUGGGAAGUACGGUCGCAAGAUUAAAACUCAAAGAAAUUGACGGGGGCCCGCACAAGCGGUGGAGCAUGUGGUUCAAUUCGAUGCAACGCGAAGAACCUUACCUAGGCUUGACUUCCCACUGACCGCUGUAGAGAUACAGCUUUUCUUCGGAACAGUGGAGACAGGUGCUGCAUGGCUGUCGUCAGCUCGUGUCGUGAGAUGUUGGGUUAAGUCCCGCAACGAGCGCAACCCUUGCUUUUAGUUGCCAGCAUUAAGUUGGGCACUCUAAAAGGACUGCCGACGUUAAGUCGGA